AGUCCCUCAUCCCCUAGGAAGAAUGCCUGUGUGCACAAAACGCGUGUGUUCACCGCAAAGUUGUGAAAAAUUUGAUGGGUAAGGACAAUAUCAGGCACAUUGCGCUAAACAACUAAAGCUUUCCUGCUGUGGAAUGUUGACCCUGGAAUCUACAAUUGACAACAUAAAAGGUGACCUUAAUCGAAGUUCUGCUCCUUCUGUGAAUAUUAUUAAAACCAGGACUCAGAAGGUUGGCGAAAGCUAGCAGUUCUGUGUAUAAUUCAGAUCUACAUGUUCCUCUGUGUAUAAUAUAGAUACACACAGUGCUGUCUGCAUUAUCCAAAAACGCAACAUACAAAUAUACGUGUAUAAAACAGAUUAGACAUACUGUUCUUUAUAUAAUACACAUACACAGGCUGCUCUGCAUAUAAUACUGACGCACAAGUUGCUUAUGCUCUGCUUAUGACACAGAUAUACACAAUGGUCUGCAUUUCAUUUAGAAACACUCACUGCUCUGCAUAUAAAACAGAUACACACACAGCACAGAUACACACUACCCUUCCUAGGAUACCCACUAAAUUGAGCCCUAUAUCUUACGGCAAGCCAAUGCAGGGACUGACAAAGGGGUGAGGUGCAGACAGGAAGAUGAGCCUCGCCACCGCAUUCAUUAUAGACUAUAACAGGACAAGUUGGGAGCACGUAAGACCACUGAGAAGCGGAUUACAGUAGUCAAGGCGAGAGAGGAAAGUGGCAUGGACCAGCACCUUAGCUGUGUCCAGCGUUAAAUGGAUACUAUAGUGCCAGGAAUACAAAGCUGUAUUCCUGGCACUAUCACUCCCCCUACCUUCCCCCUCCCUCGCCCCCCUCCCCAUCCCAGUAAAUAAAGUGUUAAAAACCUCUUUUUUUUUUUUUUAUGCUUACCUUCUCCGAGCGUUGAUGUCUCUCAGCGCUGGGUCAAUGCUUCACCCCCUCUGAUGUCCCACAACAAUCAGGCUCUAAUACGCAUUAUUAGCGGCGCACGCAUUAGACCUCCCCAUAGGAAAGCACUGAAUCAAUGCUUUCGUAUGGGGAAAAAUCUGAUGCUGGAUGUCCUCACGCAGAGCGUGAGGAUGUCCAGCGUCAGAUACCGGACCAAAGGUCUGUUUCAAUCCAGGAAGCCCUCUGGUAGACAGCCCCUAGAGGCAGACUUAGAGCUGCAAUGUAAACAAUGCAGUUUCUAUGGAACUUCAGUGUUUUACAUUGCAGCACUAAGUGCAAAAGGGCCACAGCACCCAGACCACUUCAAUGAGCUAAAGUGGUCUGGGUGCCUAUAAUGUCCCUUUAAGUAGGUGUGGAUGCGCACUAUGUUUUUGAGAAGGAAGCGGCAGGAUUUGACGAUCGACUGGACAUGAAGGAUGAAGGUAUGUUCAGAGUCAAAGAGAACACCUAGGCAGCAAGCCUGCGAGGUGGAGCUGAUGGCAGCGCCGUUAACGUAGAGGGAGACAGAAACAGGAGUAGCAACUCUUGAGGGAGACAAGAAGUUCUGUUUUGGACAGUUUAAGGAAGUGAGCGGAGACACGAGUCAAGAGAGGUGUCGAGAGAUCAGGAGAGGACAGAUAGAUUUGUGUGUCAUCCAUAGAAUAAUACAGAUACACACACAGCUCUGUGCAUAAUACAGACACACACUGCUCCGUGUAUAAGACAUAUACAAACAAUGCUCUGCAUGUAGUACAGAUACACACACUGUUCUGCGUAUAAUAUAGAUACAUAUUAGAUAGAUACAUAUGUUGCUCUGAGUAUAAUACAGAUAGACACACUAGUCUCUGUCAGAUACACACACUGCUUUGUGUGUAAUACAGAUAUUCACAUUGUUCUUCGUAUAAACAGAUACACACGCUGCUCUAUGAUUAAUAAAUACACACAAUGCUCUUUGUAUAAUGCAAAUGCACAUACUGCUCUGAAAAUAAUACAGAUACACACGUUGCUCUGCGUAUAAUACUGAUACACAUGUUGCUCUGCGUAUAAUACAGAUACACACGUUGCUCUGCGUAUUAUACUGAUACACAUGUUGCUCUGGGUAUAAUACUGAUACACAUGUUGCUCUGCGUAUAAUACAGAUACACACGUUGCUCUGCGUAUUAUACUGAUACACAUGUUGCUCUGCGUAUAAUACAGAUACACACGUUGCUCUGCGUAUUAUACUGAUACACAUGUUUCUCUGCGUAUAAUACUGAUACACACGUUGCUCUGCGUAUAAUACAGAUACACGCGUUGCUCUGCAUAUAAUACAGAUACACACGUUGCUCUGCGUAUAAUACAGAUGAACACGUUUUUUCUGUGUUGAAUACAGAACACAAACUGUGUAAUACUGUGUGCAAACACCUGUGUAUGAGCGAAUGCGUUUAAAUGAGGAAUUAUUGUUUUUAUUUGGUGAGAUAAAAAUUUUCUACUCGGGCAGGAAAUGACUUUCACUUUCUGUUCAUUUCUUGAGGCUGAGGAGGGAUUUAAAGAUCUGCGAGGAAUUUCUGAAAUGAUGCAAGAAAGAGGAUAAUGGAAUGAAGAGAGUGAGAGCAACAGGUGAAGAAUGAAGACGGAUUAGGGAAAGGAGAACAGUGGGGAGAGUGUGUACAGAUAUGAAUGAGUGGGGUCAGGUCAGGCUCUGGUAACAUUUGGCAGCUCAUCCGCUGCAGACUAUUACUCCCAUGUUUCUCAGCUUUCUGAAAUCUCUGGAAUGUCCACUGCUGUGAACUAAAACUCCUAUUAUGAAAAAUGAGUAGGGAUCUAGGUAAUCGAAUGACGAGUCUGGGAGAGUGAUACAAGCAGUAAACAAGUAAGCAAAGUUUGGGGAGACUAGAGAUAGAAAUCUAGGCUAUGAAAUACAUUAGGGAUGUGUACAUGGAGAAAUGAGUAGGGGUAUGGUAAACAAAGUGAUUGAUAGGGAGUUAUAAGCAGAAUGAACAAAGUAAAGAUGAGUCAAAGGACUAGCAAACGGGUGUAAAAGUACAGAUAGGAUGUGCAGGGAUAGCAAUGAGUGAAAUGAGUAGGGGAUUUAGGUUACAAUGUGAUACCAGUAGGGUACAGAGAGUAAGGGGAUGUGCAAGAAAUGUGAGAUACAGGACAAAUAGAGGUACAGACAGCAAUGGGAGGAAUGAGUAGGGGUUAGGAAGAAAUUGCAUAAGUGAAUAAUUUAAAGAGAAUCAGCCAUUUUUCAGUAUUUCAUAUAAUCUUUAUGAAAAACUGAUUAAGACUGCACUGGAACUUCAUUGAAACCCCAAAGCAAUCUAAAGAUACCAUUAAACAAAGUAGGAACUACUUAGUCUUAUGAUAAAGCCUGAGGUUGACAAAAGUUGAGAAAAGGUGGAGCUCUGCCGCCAAAUUUUGUCCAAUCCGAACAGCCGUCACAAAUGACAGCAGUGAGUUUCAGGCUCUGUCUAUGGAAGGUCCAUGCUGUCGUAGGGUCUUCCACAGACGUUUGUGUUGCAUUUUUACAAAUGCGUGAGAGUACAACACUGACAUGGCUUCUGUCAACUGAAGUAUCAGGAGCCAAAAAAGACUUGUAGUGUGAAGAAUGUUAUUAAAAUCAAACUCCAAUGCAACUUGUGGCCACCGGACCCAAACCGGAUCUGUUGGUUUUGGGAGUCUUCGCAAAAUAUGCUGAGACCCCCAAAAUUGACAGAUCCAGUUUAAGCAGGGCGCAUCAAGUAAAGACUAGAAAGAAAAUGAGAAACAGGAAUGUUAAGGACAGAUAGAUAAUAAAUACAAAUUGUGUUCUACUAACAGAAAAAAGAGAGAAUGAGAUACAAACAGCAUCGCUCGCAAGACUUUGUACGAAAAGAGUUAUACAUUCAUGUUAAACGUUGUAGUUAGAGGUCUAACCAAGAGCCAUGACUCUUCUGGGAUAUUUUAGAUGACUUCAUGAUCUACUAACAACCAUUUAUGGCAAUGUAUCUGUAGCAAAACCAAAAUCUCAUAUUUAUAUUGCAGAAUAAAAGCGCAGGACAUUUACAAUCACUAAAAUGUGGACUUCCUAAAAAAUAGGCACUCCGGGGAUUUGUGCUAAAAAUAUUGGCUUUCCAUCUGAGAAAGGGGCACGUGGCAGGUAUGCAACAAGGCAUGGCAAGUUAGAACCAGUCACAAAACCUUGAGACAGACAAGGUAAAGCCUGCAGACUGUAUGAAGCUGGCUUGUCAAUCAUGCUGCCCUCGAUUUGUGAUUUUACUUUAAAUGAAAAGUCACAAUUAGUUUCUGCAGAAAUAUUUUUUUCCCACUAUAUUAAUUUUUCCCUUAAUUAUUUUCUUGUUUUAUCAACGUUUGGAAAAUACAAAUGAUCUAGAAAAGAAUAAAAGUCAAAAAUAGAGAGGAAAAAAAAAAGAUUAUUCCAAACAAAAAGCACAAAAAAAGUUCUAAGUACAGAACUAAAAUGCACAGAUAGUCAUCAGUAGGCAAAACAUUGUGACUCUGCCCCCUGCUGGAUCACUUCUAUGUCUGGAAAAGUUAGGCACUGUUUGAAAGAGCCAGAACCGCAGUUUCAGCUGGCGUCUGGUGAGAAGAUUCAGCCAAGGAUCCCAAAUUUUAUGGACGUUAGGAAGUAUAACGUGUAGCACAGCUUCCAAAAUGGAAACUAUGAGCCAGAUUUUAAAGUUUGUAAUGGGGGAAGGAGGGGGCAAACACUUUCCAAAACCUGGCAAUACCCAUUCUUAUAACUUCCCAUGUAAAUGCCAAAUGUCAUUAGUUUGGAGUGCUGAUCACAUUUUUAUUGACAACUAGGCAAGUUAAGAACAACCAUCAUAGAAAGCUAUGUCCAUUGAGGUUUCAUCAAAGGGGAAAAAACACACUAGGUGUAACUAUAGGUACAAGGCCGCGUGAUACAAUUUUACAGGAUCUAAAUACCUUUUAGAACCUUUAAUAAAGUUAGGUUUAGUCUAUUGUCCUUUAUUACUGGCAUUUUCUUUGAAGGUACUUCAUUGUUAGAUACAUAAUCCUGAAAGCCCUCUUCUCAGUGUGUCUUCAAUGGUAGUUUUGUAUCAGGACCAUUUUUGUGGAUAACAUUGUUGCAAUAUUCUUUUGGUUCAAUUGUCAAUAAACAAAUCCAUAUCUUCCAAAAUUCAGAUGGCUCUUCGCAGAAUACAUGGUGGUGAAGUCUCUUGAAGGGCGAGUGUUGAACAGUGUUCCUUUAAUCAUUAUACAAUGUAUUAAACCAGAAAAGGUAUAUUUAGCUGGUUUCAGAGUACAUCCUGGGCUUCAAAUGUUAUAAUUCAUCAAAUUAAUGGUAUUUAUUUUAUCAACCUCGGAAGGAUUAUAAGUGAAGUUAUACUGUGGUGGAAUCUCGGUAAAAAUAAAUUUAGUAGGCCGAGAUUACCACGUGGCAUGUGUACGUGCAUAUGCUGACGUAUCGAUCAGUUGGUUGCACGAGGCAAGAUACGAUCAGUAGUGUACGGAGCAUGUGCAAGAAUACAGGAUGUAGUAUUCCCCUCCUCCAUUGUGCUGGACAAGCCAUGCGGUCAAGCAGGAAGUUAAUUCUUAUUUGUAAUGAUUGGUCAAGAGAAUGUGCGGGUGGAGCUUAAUAUGGGAGGAGUUAUGUGCCUAUAUAGGGAGCCUGCACUAUUGUUCAGGGCUCAGAACUUGCUGUAUUUUUGGUGACAUUAGUCCCUCUGAGUCCCGAUCGGUGAUCCAAUAAAGAAUCUCUUCCUUCCUGAAGAAACCUGUGUCCAUCUCUCUGUGCUUUGCUUCCGUCAGUUUCUCCGGUAUCAUUUGGUGCAUUGGCCGGGAAGCUCAUCGUUCAACGGUAGCUGAGAGGCAGAGGCGUGAGACGGUCUAUCUUUGCCCACGUUCUCUACGGCUGCACCCCUGAACUUCUGCGUGGACCUCCCUUCGUCUCGGCGCCACUGGUCUGUUGUCCAGGAGAUCAUCGGCCUCUACGUAAGAAGUGCUGGGGUGUCCCCGUCGAUGAGUGUGAACUCAGGUUCAGGAACGAGGAGGUAAGACAACUGCUGUUUUAGACGGCAGACCCACUAGGGGUAUACCGAUUGUGCGGUAGGCCCAAAAGGGGUUUAAAUCUGUGUAUGGAAUCUGCCCCCUCUGUCGGAGGGAAGGAGCGAAGGCGCACCGCUCGAUCGAACGCUCUUUAGUAAGACCGUUUGAUCUGGUUAGUCAGGCGGGGUCCUGUGUAAAUAGCCCUAGCCGGACACCGGUGUCUUGUCUAGACUAGCGUUCUAGGGUGUAUAUUACGUUCGCUAGGUCGGAGGGACCGGGAGACUAAGCGGCGCCUGUGUAAAUUCGGUUCGCUAGCUCUCAACCUAUCUUGGCUAAGUGGGAAGGCGUGUAAAUUUGGAACCCACUAGACUUUUGAUAGAGUAAAUAGACUAGAAGGGCAAUUUUGUAAAUUCGCCCUCUAGUUCGCUAUAUGUGGUGCUUGGGCAGUGUGGCUAACCAAAACGGGUGUAUAUAGUUUUAGGUAGUCCAUUCAAGGUACUGGCCAAUAGUUUAGUUGGGAUUGUAAAUGUGUUAAAGAUUGUUAGUAAAGUGUAUAUCUUGUUAGAUAGCGCGAGCUCAGCCGUCUAGCGAGAGUGUUAAUAGUGUGUUGCUGUAUCAUAGUGCACGGUACCAUAACCCUGUAUAUUUACUGACACUGUAUAUAAGUACUAAUCAUUGUCGCCUAUUGCAUGUUUAACACCGUAACCACUAAUAAUUGUAUUGUGACCUUAAAUUGUGCUUUGACCUAUGCUAACCGUACUGUAACCGAUACUAGUAAAAGACGAUGUUACUGGGGUGUGUUAUAGACGGGUAAUUCAUAUAUAGAGAAUUAUAGCGUGGGUGACUGUAUAGUUUCGCCAAAGGGCAUAAUAUUGAUUAUUUAGUGACUGGUGUAACAGCUGUGUGUGUACGGGAAUUCCCUGAGUGAUUAUUGUGUUAUUGUGUACGUUUCACUCGGUAACUGUACCACGUGGUGCUGUUGCCAGAGGAAACGGGUGUGACUGUUGAAUAAGAACGCGUGCAUAGUAUUCGUUGUCAACGACGUUCCAUUGAUAAGUAUGGGCGCGUCAGAGUCAACGAUUUCGGAUCCCUUAGGUUGUAUGGUAAAGAAUUUUAAAAAGGGAUUCAAAACAUGUGAUUUUGGGGUUAAAAUGUCUCCUGUACGUUUGGUCACUUUGUGCACUAGGGAGUGGCCUACUUUGGUUGCGGCAUGGCCGCCGCGUGGCAGUUUGGAUCCAACCCUGGUACAGCGUGUACACGUGGCUGUAUCAGGUAGGCCUGAACUUUACGGACAGUUUCCAUACAUUGAUUGUUGGAGGCAGGCCGUAAACGACUCGCCAAAAUGGAUCCGGAUAUGCCACGAGGAGCAAUGUCGCCUCAUGGUGGCCAGGACUUGUUUGUCCACUAGGACUGGUGUUAGGCCCAUUUUGGACACGCCCCCUGAGUCCGAGAUCCCUUUGCCGCCCCCUUACUUUCUUUUAAGAGGAAGUGACGCGAAUGCAGGAAGUUCUGCACCCCUUCCCCUAUUGCCCCCAUCCACUUCCGCUUCCUCCUCCAGUACAGAAUCCACCCCCCCUCGUAUUAAAACUCCCCUUCCGGAACCAGGACCAACCCCCAUUAGAUCUGAAUAUCCUGAUUUGGCGCCACUUCAAACUUCCGGUCAAGCUUCUUCUAGCUCGGCUCGGAGUAUACUAUUCACUAACUUUUCCCAAAAUCAAGUUCCCACAUCCUCAUGCCCUAUUACCUCUCGACCGGAACCUUUAACUGACGCCCCUCCACGUAGCCCCAUACUAACCCGACAACUGACCGGUACCCAACAAUUAAAACAUUAUCAGAUGCCUCUUCGCCUGAAUCCUGGGUCAGCCUAUAUCGAUGCCGCAGGUCAAAUGGCACAUGCUGACCCAGUCUUCGUAUAUGUCCCGUUCACGACUACCGAUCUCUUGAAUUGGAAGACCCACAAUUCCUCGUACACUGAGAAACCACAAGCUAUGACCGAUCUGUUCACCUCGAUAGUUCAGACACAUAACCCGACAUGGGCUGAUUGCCAGCAGUUAUUAAUGACAUUGUUCAAUAAUGAGGAAAGGACAAGGAUUAACCAAGCGGCCAUUAAGGCGCUAGAGGAGAGAGCCCGUGCUUUAAAUCAAGCCAAUCCGGCAGCAUGGGCCGCAACACAUUACCCUAACACCGAUCCUGACUGGAAUGUAAAUGGCGCAGAUAUGGCUCAACUUAAAGCCUAUAGAGAUGCUAUAAUUGCUGGCAUGAAAGCCGGAGGGAAGAAAGCUAUUAACAUGUCGAAGACAGUUGAGGUGAUUCAGAAAAGUGAUGAAGCGCCCAGUGUCUUUUAUGACCGAUUAUUGGAGGCAUACCGCUUGUAUACCCCCUUUAAUCCGGAAGACGCUGAUAAUUCCCGAAUGGUAAACUCCGCCUUUGUCAGCCAAGCUUACGGAGAUAUUAAGCGCAAGCUACAGAAAUUAGAAGGGUUUGCAGGUAUGUCUAUCACCCAACUAAUGGAGGUAGCGAACAAAGUAUAUAUGAAUAGGGAAACAGAAAGUAAGAAAGAGGAAGAGCGCAAGAUGCGUAGAAAGGCAGAUAUGCUAGCGGUAGCGAUCGCAGGCGUAGAUAGACGGGGCCCAGAUAGAGGCGAUGGUAGAUGGAAUAGGGAGCCUUUGAGUAGGAAUCAGUGCGCGUACUGUAAGGAAGAAGGGCAUUGGAGGAACGAGUGUCCGCAAAGAGAGCAGUAUGAGAGAGACUUACCCAGGGCAGGUUACGGAAACUUUAGAGGCAGAGCGAGAGGUAGAGGAGGCCCCGGAGGGAGUAAUGGUAAUAGAGGGAGUAAUGGGAACAGAGGAAGUGUAAGGGAAGAUAGGUACUAUCCAGCAGCGCAAAGGUCCCGCGAUAGAGAAGGUAGGGACUUUGUGGGAUUGGCUGACACGGUCAUGGAGGACUAUUGAUACCGACCGGGCUCCAUCCCCCUUGGUCGAGCGGAGCCUAUGGUCGAUGUAUCAAUAGGGGGAAAAAGGAGUGCGUUCAUGAUCGACACUGGUGCUGAACAUUCGGUGGUGACUAAUCUAGUUGCUCCUCCAUCUGGAAGAACUAUUACUGUAAUAGGAGCAACUGGAAGAAGUGCUGAAAAACCGGUUCUUAAAAGUCGACUCUGUACAUUGGGAGGCCACGUAGUAAAACAUCAAUUCCUUUAUAUGCCUGAGUGUCCAGUCCAAUUGCUGGGACGUGAUAUGCUAUCCAAAUUACAAGCGCAGAUUACGUUCCUACCAAAUGGAACAACAUCCUUAAAGUUUAAUGGACCCUCAGGUAUUAUGACAUUGUCCGUACCAAAGGAAGAAGAGUGGCGACUUUAUACAGUGUUGACUAGCCAAAACCCGAGGAGUGAUGAAUCCUUAUUUAACAUACCAGGAGUUUGGGCAGAGAACAACCCACCAGGACUGGCCCGCAAUAUUCCACCUAUUAAAAUCGAACUAAAACUUGGGGUUUAUCCAGUAAGCCUGAGACAAUAUCAUAUUCCGCAGAAGGCUAAGAAGAACAUCCAAUCUUAUCUGGAUAAGUUCAUACGGUAUGGUAUCCUAAAAUUCUGUACUUCCCCCUGGAACACCCCAUUGCUGCCUGUUCAAAAGCCCGGUACAGAUGAGUAUCGACCUGUGCAGGACUUGAGAGCAGUCAAUGAUGCGGUUGUUAGUAUACAUCCAGUCGUGCCCAAUCCAUAUAACCUGCUUGCUUUAAUUCCGGGCGGGGCUACUUACUUUACAGUCUUAGAUCUCAAAGAUGCCUUCUUUUGCCUCCGAAUUGCCGCAGAAAGCCAAUGUAUCUUCGCUUUCCAAUGGGAAAAUGCUGUAACGGGCUCGAAACGCCAAAUGACCUGGACAAGAUUGCCCCAGGGGUUUAAAAAUUCACCAACCCUAUUUGGUUCAGCUCUAAGUCAAGAUCUACUAGAUUUCGAGUCUAUCCCAGGAGAGUGUGUAUUAUUACAAUAUGUAGAUGACUUGUUGAUAGCAGCAGUUACAAAGGAAGUAUGUCAGCAAGCAACGCACGAUCUACUACACAUUCUCUGGAAGGCAGGAUACAAGGUGUCUAGAAGGAAGGCUCAGUUGUGUUUGCCAACUGUCAAAUAUCUGGGAUUCCAUAUCUCUGAAGGUCAAAGAAUUAUGGGGCCAGAGAGAAAAGAAGCUGUGUGCCAAAUACCGAUACCCAGAAAUAGAAGACAAGUGCGAGAAUUCUUGGGGGCAGCAGGCUUCUGUAGGAUAUGGAUUCCCAGCUACGCGAUACUGGCAAAACCUCUGUAUGCAGCUAUCAAAGGUACAGAGCACGACCCCUUCUUAUGGACUCAAGAACAGCAAACGGCAUUCGAAGAUGUGAAGAGGGCUUUGAUGAGUGCCCCAGCAUUAGGUCUACCUGACCACACACGCCAUUCUACCUGUAUGUACAUGAGCAAAGAAGAAUGGCUGUGGGAGUAUUGACACAGUACUUGGGAUCAUGGCAAAGACCUGUUGCCUACAUGUCUAAGCAACUGGAUGCAGUGGCCAGCGGACUUCCACCUUGUCUAAGAGCCGUAGCUGCAGCCGCCCUGCUAGUAGCUGAAGCCGAUAAACUCACUCUGGGUCAAGAACUUUAUGUACGAGUUCCACAUGCAGUACAGACGUUGUUGGAUUACAAAGGAAAUCAUUGGUUUAGUAACAGCCGUAUGACCAAGUAUCAAGCAAUGUUGUGUGAAAACCCAAGAGUGCAUUUAGAGACUGUAAAUACCUUAAAUCCAGCUACCCUUUUGCCACAACCUACUGAAAGUCAACAUGAUUGUUUGGAAGUAAUGGAUGAAGUAUUUUCAAGUAGACCAGAUCUUCGUGAUUUUCCCAUCCAGAACCCUGAUGUUCAAUAUUACACCGACGGCAGUAGUUAUGUAAAAGAAGGGAUCCGCUAUGCAGGAUAUGCAGUAACAACGAUAGACAAGGUGAUAGAAGCUCGGCCACUGGCAAAAAGGAACAUCAGCACAAAAGGCAGAAUUGAUAGCACUGACACGAGCGUUACAAUUGGCUGAAGGUUUAAGAGUGAACAUCUACACGGACUCCAAGUAUGCGUUUUUAACCACUCAUGCCCACGGAGCUUUGUAUAAAGAAAGAGGACUAUUGAAUUCAGAAGGCAAAGAAAUCAAAUACGCAGCUGAGAUCCUACAACUAUUGGAAGCAGUGUGGGAGCCGAAAGAAGUCGGUAUUAUACAUUGUCGGGCGCAUCUGAGAGGAGAUGGUGAUGUAACCAAAGGGAAUCGGAUGGCAGAUAGUGCAGCUAAGCGUGCUGCUGAAUCAGGAAGACAGGAAUAUGUGGGGCAUAUAGCUGCUCUUAUACCAACUCCACUGUCUCAAUGGACUCCAAUUUAUACAGCUCAAGAAGAGGAGUGGUUAAGGACUGAACCUGGAAAGUAUUUGGAGAACAAAUGGUAUCAGUUAGAAGAUGGAAGAAUAGUUAUUCCAGCAUCACUAGCGGUAGAAAUUGUCCAAAACUAUCAUAACGGGACACAUUCUGGGAGAGACAGUACAGAAGAAUCUCUCAGAAAACAUUUCUACAUACCAAGAUUGUCCAACUUGACUCAGGCCAUUGUACGUAGAUGUGUAACGUGUGCUAAAAAUAAUGCAAGACAAGGACCAGUAAAGCCACCAGGAGUCCAGUUUAUGGGGGGACUUCCCAUGUCCGAUUUACAAAUUGACUAUACAGUGAUGCCUAAAUCGGGUGGACAUCGCUACCUGCUGGUAGUGGUGUGCACCUAUUCAGGCUGGGUAGAAGCAUGUCCUACUCGUACAGAGAAAGCAGGAGAAGUCGUGAGAUUCCUGCUACGAGAAAUAAUACCCCGAUAUGGACUACCCUGCUCUAUAGGAUCGGACAAUGGUCCAGCUUUUGUUCAUCAGUGCCUACAACAAUUGACUCAUAUGCUUGGUAUAAAGUGGAGGCUUCAUACGGCAUAUAGACCCCAGAGUUCUGGUAAGGUAGAGAGAAUGAAUAGAACUAUUAAGAAUCAGUUGGCUAAAAUGUGUCAGGAAACCCAACUUAAGUGGAACGUUCUCUUGCCCAUAGCUCUAUUGCGAAUCCGUAGUACACCUACCAGAAGGAUGGGCCUCUCUCCUUUUGAAAUCAUGUACGGGCGACCACCUCCCGUGCUUGGUAACUUAAGGGGGGAUUUGAGUCAGUUGGGAGAAGGAAUUACCCGGCAGCAGGUUGUAGAGUUGGGUAAGACUAUGGAGGAGGUACAGAAAUGGGUACAAGAUAGAUUACCUGUGAAUAUUUAUCCCCCAAUUCAUAGUUACCACCCAGGCGACCAAGUGUGGAUUAAAGAGUGGAAUAAUGUGCUGUUAGGGCCCAAGUGGAGAGGUCCUUAUGUUGUUCUUUUGUCUACCCCUACAGCGAUAAAAGUAGCCGAAGUGACUCCGUGGAUACAUCACUCCAGGGUUAAACCAGCAGCAGCCGAUUCUUGGCAAGUUACAGCAGAUCCAGAGAAUCCCUGCAAGAUCCGGUUAAAACGCACGACUCAGUCGGAGUGACGAGGAACCUUGUGGAUUACAAAUUUUAUUGUUUCAGAAACUUGGUAAGUGAGUGAGAAGGCCAUAAUAAAGCCUGUCCACUCACCAACGAGUGUAUAAGUCAGGGAAAGUCUUGAGGGGACCCCUAUGAAGACGAGCAGAACUCCAUUCCCUGCAGCCCUUACAUCCUGGAAGCUGAGGUGCCUUCGCACGGACGAAGACUGAGGAUGACGACGAAAGAUGUAUUUUUAAUAAUGUUUAUUUAUGUGUAUUUUUAUAUUCAGGAAGGUAGAGGUACCGACACUCCUAGCUGUGAGGUAUGCAUUAAGACUACAAGAACAGGUAACCAUAUAUCCCAGACCCUAAUUUGGCAUUCGCAAUAUGAGUGUAAAGGAGAUGUAUCAAGAUGUAGAUACUUAAAUAUAGAAUAUAGUGUGUGUCAUUUAGGAGUAGGAGAACCUAAGUGCUUCAGUCCUGAGUAUCAACCCCGUACAAUUUGGUUGACUCUCAGAAAUGGAGAUCCUCAGGGGACCCUAAUUAAUAAAAACAGAGAAUAAGACGGUAUUAGAAUCCGUAUAUUCUUCAGGUGCUCUGCUAUUUGAUGCGUGUAAAGCAAUAUCAAGUGGUAGAAAGCCGUGGAAUGUAUGUGGGGAUCUUAGAUGGGAGAGGACGUAUGGGUCUAACGAUAAAUAUAUUUGUCCCAGUAGUAAAAUAAAUAUGUAAGUCCAAGAUGCCCAAAUAGAGAUUAUAACUUCUGCCCAUAUUGGUCUUGUGUGGGGUGGGCGACUUGGGGACAGACAGCAGACAAGGACAUGAUUGUGACUAAGUUGCCUACUGAUCCAUAUUGUAAGUCUAUGGAAUGCAAUCCAAUCCAUAUACUUAUAAAUAACCCUGACAAGUUCUUAGAUAAAUAUGGUAAUUUAUUUGGGUUUCAAAUAUAUGGGACGGGUUUAGACCCUGGGACAAUAUUGUUUAUAGGGAUAGAGACUGAUACGGUAACCUCCCAAACUCAUCAAGUAUACUAUUCCUUUUAUGAAGAGAUGAGCAUAGAUAAUAAGAUCCCCCAUAAUGCUAAAAACUUGUUCAUUGAUUUAGCCGAAAGUAUUGCCGGUAGUCUUAAUGUUACCAACUGCUAUGUGUGUGGAGGUACUAACAUGGGAGACCAAUGGCCUUGGGAAGCAAAGGAGGUAAUGUCCGGUUCUGAGGCAGUUGACCAAUUAAUAUCUACACAAGCCGACUAUCAUAUGAGUGUUAGAGGUAAAUCUGAGUGGAGAUUGAAGACCUCCAUCAUAGGUUAUGUUUGCAUAGCGAGGAAAGGAAUGAUGUAUAAUACUUCUGUAGGAGAAUUAACUUGUCUAGGGCAAAAAGCUUAUGAUGAUGAUACAAAGAAUACAACUUGGUGGUCGGCUUCAAAUGUCUCAGAACCAUCUAACCCGUUUGCAAGAUAUGCCAAUUUAAAGGACGUAUGGUUUGAUCUAUCCAUCACAUCUAACUGGAGAGCCCCAGCGAAUUUGUACUGGAUCUGUGGUAAGAAGGCCUAUUCGGAGUUACCACAGGACUGGGAAGGGGCAUGUGUGUUGGGUAUGUUGAAACCAUCCUUCUUCUUGUUGCCUAUUGAAACAGGUGAGACUUUAGGUGUUAAAGUGUAUGAUGUGAAUCAUAGGAAGAAAAGGGGACCCAUAGAGAUAGGUGCCUGGGAAGAUAAUGAAUGGCCUCCCCAGCGUAUUAUAGAUUAUUAUGGGCCAGCCACGUGGGCAGAGGAUGGUACCUUUGGUUAUAGAACCCCUAUUUAUAUGCUCAACCGCAUUAUAAGGUUACAGGCGGUGGUUGAGAUCAUUACUAACGAGACAUCACAAGCGCUCAAUCUUCUAGCGAAGCAUAAUACCAGGAUGAGGACAGCAGUUUACCAAAAUAGAUUAGCCUUGGAUUAUCUUUUGGCAGUAGAGGGAGGUGUAUGUGGGAAGUUUAACCUGAGCAAUUGCUGUCUUCAAAUAGAUGACGAAGGGCAAGCAAUAGCUGAGCUUACUAGCCAUAUGGUUAAACUAGCGCAUGUGCCUACUCAGGUAUGGAAAGGGUACAAUCCAAGUAGUUGGUUUGGUAGCUGGUAUGAGUGGUUUGGAGGGCUUAAGGCAGUGGUAGGUGGAGUCCUACUGAUUUUAAUGUUGUGUCUACUCCUGCCGUGUCUUAUACCCUUAGUAGUUAGGUCUGUGCAAAGCCUGAUAGAAAAUAUAGCAGAGAGGAAGGCUGCUGCACAGAUAAUGGCAAUUUAUAAAUAUAAGGCUCUAGAUCAGGGAGAACCAAUGCAGGAAGACGAGUGUUGAAGAUUCACAUCAUAGGAUAAGUCUGGUCUGGUUCAAAGGUAACUUGUGGUGUAUGCAAACCAAGGUUAAGUGAUGCCUCAAGUAAUUGUAAAAUAUCAAGAGGCAUCAAAGGGGGGAAUGUGGUGGAAUCUCGGUAAAAAUAAAUUUAGUAGGCUGAGAUUACCACGUGGCAUGUGUACGUGCAUAUGCUGACGUAUCGAUCAGUUGGUUGCACGAGGCAAGAUACGAUCAGUAGUGUACGGAGCAUGUGCAAGAAUACAGGAUGUAGUAUUCCCCUCCUCCAUUGUGCUGGACAAGCCAUGCGGUCAAGCAGGAAGUUAAUUCUUAUUUGUAAUGAUUGGUCAAGAGAAUGUGCGGGUGGAGCUUAAUAUGGGAGGAGUUAUGUGCCUAUAUAGGGAGCCUGCACUAUUGUUCGGGGCUCAGAACUUGCUGUAUUUUUGGUGACAUUAGUCCCUCUGAGUCCCGAUCGGUGAUCCAAUAAAGAAUCUCUUCCUUCCUGAAGAAACCUGUGUCCAUCUCUCUGUGCUUUGCUUCCGUCAGUUUCUCCGGUAUCAAUACUUGUCAAGAACCUAACCUGUGCCUUUAAGGUACUGCUGAUGAAGACCUGACCUCUGAUUUAUCUCACCGGCUCUGCUGGAUUUAUGGAGAAACUCAAAAAAUACAGAUGUCCACAGAUUGUGGUUGCAAUUAAUUUGCUUUCUUUACUGUUAAGUUCCUUUAUAAAUAAGGAAUUUUAAAAAAUUAAUCUUAGAAAAUAAAGAAGUUAGACAGAGAAGAGAUUACAUUAAUUCUUCUCAGGCUAAUCAUGAAAAAGUUUGGCAUGACCAUCAGAAAUAUAUCACUAUUAAAAAGGUAUUGAGUAGAGUAAUUCACUAAAAAGUGAGUUAUGAGUAGUUACUUGGAUAAACAUUGUGGAAUUAACAGAAUUACUAUCUAAUUAUGCAUUCGAAUAAUAGAAGCAAUUAUCAUAAUGAUAGGGUAUGUUCUCGUGCAGCAACAAGUCUCAUAGCGCUUUUCAGUACGAAAAACAAACAGUGUGAAUGAAACAAUUCUAAGGAGAUGGAAGAUGGAAUUAGAGCCCUUCUCCAGCUAUAAACAUUAAAGUUAACAAGUUCUAUUUUAGGUUUCCAUAGAAUAGUAACUUUCCGUUUUAUCACCUGUAGCGUAUAAUGGAAAGGAUUGGAGCAAGCCUAUAAAUCUUACUGGCUACCAUUCAAAGCAUGUUCACUUGGACGCUCUGUUAAGUUUAGAGACAGACUCGGUAAGGUAUAUGGGUUUUGGCAAUAUUUUCCCAUAGAGUCCCGCAGUCUGCGUCGUGAGUCAUAGUUCCUUUAACAAAGGGCCCCUGGUACAAGGAUAAGCAGGCCGAUAAGCUGUAACUCCUUAGCUGUUGCUGAAUUAAAACUCUUAGAAUCUUUAGCCAAGGUGAUAAUUACCGUUGCGGUCUGAAAGCAGCUGGCAAGUGUCUGAUUUCAGAGCCCGGUCCUACGGCUUGUGUCUAACUUGUGUGGAAUUCAUCCCAAUGUGUAAUACGCACAUGUCUGUGUGACAUCUGAUUCUCUGUGAUGAGCGAUCAGGCUGAUAACCUGUUGUGAAGAUUACUAAUAAUGUUAAUUUAUUUUACAAAGAGACUGUUUCUAUACUGUAGUGUCAGAAAACAGUGGUCAACGGUAAUGCCGGGGAAGACCCACGUUCUCCAAUACAUCUCUACAGUAUUAUUAUUGCCUUAUCUGGAUUAUUUACUAAACUUUUAUAUGUAGCAAAUCGGAAACCAGAUAGCAAAACUGAGGCUAAAAUAUUCAUGAUGUGACUAAUUGCUGAGUUGAGGAAUUUCUCCAGAUAAACUAUUUCAGCCAAAAUGUUUCAAUCUAAUUAAUUUGCUAUAAUUUGGAGUUACAUUAAUAACCCUGUUGAUCUGUCGCAGCUGAGUGAGCUAUAUUAUAUAUAUACAUUUGAUAGAUUGCCCACUUUUACUGUCCACAUCUAUGUUGUUAGGCAGUAUGUGAAGGGUACUGUUUCACUGUAUGCAGAAUUCAUAUAAUACAAGCGAGAGAUAAUACAUUGAGUAACCAUGAAUAGGGUUCCAUAUUCAUUUCCACAAAUUUACCUCUUUCCAGUAAUACAAUCUGCUGGGUAGCACUUGUCAUAUACCAUCCUGGUAUAAUUGCACAAUAUAUAAUAUAUAGAGUAAGCAAUAUAGGGCAGCGGCAGCCUAAUAAUAUGUAGAAUUCAUAUAGUGCAGUACAAAAAUCAUUUAAUAAUUCACAGUAUUCCAUAUUAAGCACCAGAAUUUAUUUCCCAUUGAUAUAUAAAUUCGGCCUACUACAAUACCGUUCGUAUACCAUCCCGCAGCAUAUCGAAGAGAUUUUUUUGAAAAAAGUAUUGAAUCUUGCAAAUCUUACAAAGAGACAUCAUACAGUUGGUGGAAAAAAUAGCUGCUUUGGCAACCCUACCUACAGGCCUCAAUGUCUUCUUCAAUAAAAACCCACUGUUGUAUUCUUUAAUUCAAGUACCGAUUUUUUUCUUCCCUCUUCACUGAUAGCACAUCACGAACAGUAGCUAAUCAUAGCAGAGUGGAGGAGGUGACCCUAAGACCCUGAACAAUUAACAGAAAUCCAUAUGUGGACAGGAUUAUGGGUAAGACACUCGAGAGUUAAUGGGUCUUGUGCCGAGGCUUAGCUAUAGGUCUCGAGUGAGUUAUUAGAAAGAGACUUACUCUGAGUGAUUGAGUCUUAAAGAGACAUUAACAAGCAAAAAUGAGAGCAAACACAUGCAUACAAAAACAUUUUAUAUUUUUUGCUGUUGUGGGACAAAUCUUGCCCAUGUGCUAGUUUCUCUAUACGUUGUAUCACGCUCUCACUUAAAUGUUCAAUUUGAAAUGACUCCGUCCCUUUCACACGCUCUUGUUCACACCAGAAUCCAUUACAUAAUAUUAUUUUUAGGAUUUGGCAAAACGUUAAGGAAUCUAACCCCAGGGGUGCAAUGUAAAGAAUAUAUCUUGAUUAUCUUGAUCGAUGUCUGAGAUAAUGUUUACGCAUACCACUCGAACAUGAUGUACAAUGAAAUGAUAUGAUUGCUCUCCUGGGCAGCUCUAAUUUGUUAAUUUCUUUUUUGAUGUUACCAGUAUUUCCACAUUUGGUCAUUGUCUAGGAUUUUGUCAGCUUGAUGUCCUCUGCAUUCCUGUCUUGUUCCAAUUCUACUGCCCCUUUUAAUGAAUGCUAAAGCUCCGUAGUCACUAAGUCUAGCCCUCUACCUAGUGCUACCCCAUUUGUUAGCUGCUGCUGUAUUGUACUGCAUUUUAGACAUUGUGAAAUGAAGAUUUUCAAGGAUAUAUUUGCAGAUUUUCUGCUUAUUCUCUUUGUACAACCAGCGAUCUCAAAUGUGUGACACAUUAAACUUGUCAAAUUUCUUUAGCAUUUAUUUGGUGCCAAUAGCAUGCCAAGAGCUAUCAUCUGCCCACUGAAGCCUCAACACUAUUCCAUAACUCCCAACUGUCCUUAUUUAGCAGGGAAAGUCUCUAUUUUGGGCUCAGAUUUCACGAUUCUAUCUUAAUGUCCCUCUUUUCUUGGAGCUCCGUAUUGCUGGUGUGUCUGAGUGUAUAACAGCAAUAAUACUCCCAGUAAUGUGUCUUUACCCUACAAUAAAUGUGUUUAGAAAUCAAUCUGUGUAAAUAAGAUACAUUGUUCUUGUUCUAAAUUACAUUGUAGUUGUAUACAUUUUUAUUAGUAAGUCCCCUAAAUCUCUCAGUACAGCCUCCCCCUUUGCCACACCCCCACUGACACCCCUAAAAUGAAAGUGUCCCUCUUUGUCCAUGUGAAAUGUUGGGAACUAUAUUGUUCCUUGACAUAUGAUAUCUGCAUGACAGCACUGCUAAUUCAUAUUAUAUCAAGCAAUACUACUAAGGAAAAGUGUACAUUUAAUAAAAUACCAUUUUGGAGUUUUAAUCUGUCCUUGGGUAGUCAAGGCCCCUAACUGCUCUUUGACAAAAAAUAUACCAUUCCUGUAGGGCAGAGGUGUCCAAAAGGCAGAUCCCCAGAUGUUUUAAAACUACAGCUCCCAUGACCAUUUGUCAUUCCAAAGUCAUUCUAGAUGCAAGCAAACCAUCAUGGCAUUUGUAGUUCUACAACAUCUGGGGAUCUACCUAUUGGGCACCCCUGCUGUGGGGUGUCUUAUUUCUUACCUAUUAUGUCAACAUACUGCUGUGCAGUUUGCCUCUGUGCCUCAGAUCUAAAGUCGUGGGUAAGUACUCAUUUAAAUGUUAUGAUUGUUUUCAAACAGUGAAUUGUGACUAAGAGCCUCCUGACACUUAGUUUACCCCCAGGCUAGAACCCAUGUCCCAAAGCAUUACAAUGUGUUCAUAUUAUAUCCAGAUGUGGGCUACUGUACACAGGGCACUAGAUUGGGAAGUGUAAACAUAUGUUUGGUUUGGAAUGUGCAGUAAAUAAUGAUAUCUGAUACCACACUGCGAAGAACACAAUAAUAAAAUAUGAUACUAUAAAGGAUGAAUUGUAGCGUGACUUACAUGUUUAAUUCUGAAGAUAAAUGUGCUUAGUUUUCAGAACUUCAAAGUCCCAGUUAUAGGCAGUCCAGCUUUUCAAUGGACCUUAGAGGGACAUUUUUAUAGCAAACGUUUUGAUUUGCAAAGUGGAUAGCUUUGGAGAUAUUUAAUUUAUUAUAACAUAUUCAUUUUUUAUUUAAAUACUUGAUUGGUUUAAAAAUGUCUAACACUUCAACCAGUUAAUAAAAUAUGAGGAAAAUCUCAAUAAAAAUGUAAACAUUACGUCAUUAAUGUUAUCCAUCACUUCUGCCACAGGUGGUAGGUAACAUUCUCCAGGGCAUAGUAAAGCCCAGAUGUUGUGAGAACUCACUAUCGUGAUUACCCUCGUUUGCCAUUUUCAUGUGUUGUUCCAGUAAGAAAUACAUAGUUAGACUAUAGCGCUACACAUUUCUGAAAUCAUGUAGGGAGGGAAUGAGCCCGGUAUGUUUGCGGAGGAGCCAUAUACAUCCUCCUUAUACUGCUCCAUAUCUGCAGUGUCUAGAAAUGCAUUUUAAAUGUAUUUAUAACGUCAUUCUAAAUGUAUUUUGAUUUAAAUAUAUAUAUCAAAAUACAGUUAGAACAAAUUUAAACCGGUAUAUAAUUUUUUUUAAAUUUAAUUUUAUUUAUUUUUCAUUUUUUUCAAUUAUAUAUAUAUAUAUAUAUAUAUAUAUAUUUAUAAUGUCAUUCUAAGUGUAUAUAUAAUUAUAUAUUAAUAUAUAUGUUAAUAUUAAAAUAUACUUAGAAUAAUAGAUCAUGUAUAUAUAUAUGAUCUAAGUACUUUUAUUACAUUCAUAAAAUGUUUUAAAACUUUAUUUUAACUUUUAAAACUUUUUUGCAGGCAUGAGGGGGACUGCCUGGGAUGCCAGGCAAGUCCCCACAUCGCGAUCGCCGGCGGGUAAGUGCAUAAUUUGCCGCAGACCUACCAGGUACAUCCGAGGUUGUUAACGGCCAUUUUUUUGUUGUCGGGCGUACCUUGCACGUCCGAGGUCAGGAAAGGGUUAAAUGGACACUCCUCCGCCCAAAUACAAACUAAAUAAAAAUCACUGUUUAGUAGAUGUACCCCAAAUGAAAACAUGCAUGCAUUCAAUAAUUCAUUUUUUUCCCCAUUGGGGUAUAUCUAAAAACAGCUUGCAAAACCGGUGACUGUCCAAACAGACCAGUGGUUUCCAAACCAGUACUCAUGGCCCACCAGCAGUCCAGGAUGUAUGUAUUUCCCUGUUUUAUUCCAAUGGAGAUACUGACAAAACCUGGACUGUUGGUGGGCUUUGGGGACUUGUUUGGCAAAGACUGCUCUAGGCAAUUGCUGUUUCUUGAGUUUAGUUCCACUGAGCUAACCAAACCAGGAAGUAACUGGGCCAGUUUUCAGCUUGAAAACUAGGGCGGUGUAAAUUUCCAUUGCAAUCUGCAAUUUUUGCCAAAUGAAAAAAAAGACGCACCUUUCACACAUAAAGCUGUUCUGCAAGCUAACUUGCUUUAGGGUCCCUUUAAGACUCAGGCUGUCUGCAAAUAAGACUGGAAUAGCUAAUAGAAUUCAGUCUACUUGUAUAUUCCGUGGUUAGCGACUGGUAGAAACAUUGAAUGGAAGGGUAGUUCAGUGUUAAAUGAGCACAGGGCAUAUUUGAUAAGAAGAAUAAAAGUGCAAGCUGUCAUGACUGCUUGAAUUCUUGCUUUAGGCAUGCUACUUUCUUUAGAUUUAAGGAUUCAUUACUGAGUGGAGAGAGUCGGACUUGGAUUAAAUUAAGCCCCCUUCAAGCACCACUUCAGCCCAAUCAAACAUUGUUUGCAUAGCCGUGACAGCCCAAUCACGCCAUGGCAAGGGUAGAUGCCCAGAGCUAAUGGAGCGGCACAGCCGCCAAUUAUUCCAUCUCACGAAAAGGCAAAAAGACAAAUUAAAUCACCCAGAGUAAUCAGCACCUGCAGAUGACUUUGGACAACAUCCACCUUUGAUCCUCCAGCUGUUGAAUUAAGAUUCUCAUUGUUGUUAGUCACUUUGGCUGUGAAACACCAGUUGCAUGAAAAGUAGUCUGCCCCAGACAUUAAUGAAUGCAGAGGAGCAUGCUGGGUAUACUCAUUGGAGCAAAUUCAUUUUAACCAUUUCAGUAAUGCAGAGAGUAUAUAUCACAGUGAAUUUCACAAUAUAUCCUUCUGUUUCAGCGUAUUUCCAGUGACCUUAAGUGUCUUUUUGAAAUAUGUGGUUGUUUUACAAUUAUGUAUCUAUACUAAACUGCUUACCUUUCCAUCAUUACAACUGGUCCACAGUGACUACAUAAGAGAAUGUAUUACUAAAAAUAAAAAUAUCUGGUUCAUUUGUGCCAUGAAUUUAUGCAUUGCAGCCUCCAUUAGUAUACGUGUAUGGGGUUGACUUGGGUAAUCUGAUUUAAAGAAUUUGGACCAAUAUUUUUUUUAUUGCAGUUCCAAAUGUGACCACAAGGGCCAUUUACAGUGCUGUUCAAUAAUUCUUUAGGCUGCAUUUCUACCAUGAUUGAAAUAUGUUGUAUGCUCCCUCUCUGGGCUUCUUUGCCAUUCCAUUUGUAUGAGAGCUAGUGUGUUUUUAGCAUAACACGUCUGUGUGCCAUCCGUGUUGUUUAGCUACAGUAUGUGUACUAAGUCUGUCGCCUAAUAACAGAGUUGUCAAAUGCCCCUCUUCAGCUUUGCAACUUGGUUCACCAACUGCUAGUAGCCACAUCUGGCUCCUGUGCACCCAAAUAAAGUAGCCAAAAUUUGGGGAUCAGGGAGUAGACCAAUAGGUAAAAAGAUUAAGUAAAAGCUUUGUUUUGUGAGUCAUUUUUUCAGCUGUUCCACGGAUCACAUCUCCUAAUGAAUUUUUAAUGUCUUGUCACGUCUAUUUUUAUUCCUUUUUCGUCUUUUCAUUUUGUUAUUAUAUUUCCCAUGUGCUUUCUCUCUGACUGUUCUUUAUUUCCCCGAAAUUCAGUUGCCUUUCCUCCAUCCCCCCCCACCCCCCCUCCUGCUUCAGUGUUUUCUCAUCCUCUCGCCCCUUCUCUCACUUUCUUUCCUUUUUGGAGCUAGGGUUUGCAUAUCCGUAAAUUAAGUGAGAUAAUAUAAAGAUCUUUUGUUCUUCCAGAGACUGCCGGGGCCCAAUGGGAUUCAGAGGAGGAGGGAGGCGCACCCCCUUGCUUGAGGACUUGAAUCACAGGUCCUUGUAUAUUUAUUUAUGUUUAAUAUGGUAGUUUAAAAAACAAAAAUAAAACGGUUAGUGAAUGGAGAUCUUUGCUUGCACUGUAUCUUGCAAAACAGAGAGAGAGAUUGCAUGGCGCUGAAUGUGUUGCAGUCCAGCAGAUUGGAAAAUGUAUUUAUUUAGAAAAUAUUUUACCAGGAAAGAUACAUUGAGAUGUCUCUCGUUUUCAAGUAUGUCCUGGGUCCACAAAACAUUGCAUUGAAGCAAUAGGGUAAAAUAAAAUACAAAAACAAUAUUAAUACACGAUAUAUACAAAAUUUACCAUAGAACAGGUAAGAAAUAUAUAAUCAACCAUGACAGGUGCAUUCUGUUUUGAGAUAGGUAGAGAGGGAUGGACCUGUCCUUCCCGUAUACUGAUUGUAUAUGUCACUGUAUAUCUGUGCAAGACAGGAAGACUGAUGUGUGCUGCUGGAUAAGAAUGUCAUAGUAAAGCAGAUUGGAGAUGUGCAGACCUUAUUUCAGCGAGGGUUACUUUUGCUGUUCUGCCCUGCAUCAUAUAUCACUUGGGCAUUGGCACGGCUGCUGCGUGAGCUGUAUGAGCAUGUCAUCGUGUAGCAUACGUCAACCAGAUUUUUGGAAAGAUAUCAAGAAAUAUUAUUAGAGUUAGUUGGAGUUAUAAAAAAAAAAAGCAGAUGGGUAUAUUUUGUAGAUACAGCAGAGUGUCCAAGAUUGUUUAGAGUUAAAAGACAUGUCAUCUGUGACAUCACUCCAUGACAUCACUGUCCACACACGGAAUCAGAGUGCCUCUAGGAUGCCCUGUCAGUGGUGGCAGAUGCCCGGUACCCAGGCUGUUAUGUCAAUGGAUCCAUUGCCCUGUGUCUGGCAGUGGGGUGGAAAGACAACUGGCAGCAGGGCAAAGUGCCAUGGGCACAUUGUAUCACUAGGUUAAUAAUAUGAAUAUUGUGUAUAAGAGAGAUAUUCCUUCUGUUGGCCUGCACCUGCGCCCUGCACACACAUUUCACUGUAUACAAUUGAGAUGGGGAUGGCUGGCUGUGUUAUAACUUUCUUAUGUGUAAUUACAUGGCUAUCGUCUAUUUAUAAAAUACAAUCCGGCCCUGAGAAUGCGUUUGCCCCCACUGUCCCCCGUUUUAUAUAUUUUUUCUUUUUGUGGUCUGGCCCAGAACCUCUCACAUUCCCGCAGAAAAUUACAAUGUGGAAAAAAAAACAGGAUCCUGGUCCUUCUCUGUAGGCCCCAGUAACGGAGUCCAGAUGUGGCAAAUUAGAGGCAGGGGGGAAAACAUAAAUACUGGCACUGCCAGGGUAUAUUGCGACUAACCACUGGCACCGUCUGUGCUAAGAUGCAUCGACUCUUAGAGAUGGAAUGUAAUAAAAUGUGUUUGGAUGCUGCAGAAUGGGCACAGUAGCUGUUAAGAAGGGAUAUAAAGGGAAUGGUGGAAGACAGAAUGGAGAAGGAAAGAGGAGGAGUGAGAAAUAGGAACGCUGGAAUUAGGGAGAGGCUAGGGAAAGAGAAGAAUUAAGACUGCAUUUGCAGAGAGACAGAGUAAAGAACAGCUAAAAGUGUUGGUAAUGCUAAGUAAUGCAAGAGUAGGACAGUCAAGCUUUGUACCUAUGUAUGGUGUCACCAUGCACCUCUCCGGGGUAGGUCUCCUUGACCCCCCACCUGCGGGGCGAAUGCUGUGAUGAGCCUAUAAUUUCUGAAAGCUGCCUUUGUACACGGCCCCCCCCCAUUCCCCCUUCCUCGCCUAGAACAUGUUCUAGGGAUAAUGGGAUCCAUUGUGAAAUUAGUGGUGGGAAGGGGGGGGGAUGAUUCUGCCUGGUGAAGGGAGGGGGUUAGAGACCCCGUGAAGGCACGAGCAGAGAGCCCCCCUGCAGGGGAUACCUAACUGUGUUUAUUUUGAUCUCCCCUCCACCUCGCACCACCAGAGAACUUGCGCUCUUACUUAACUACCCCCUGGGGGAACAUGUAAAUACUAUUAAGUGUAAUAAUAACUAUUCUGCGUAUGCUUUUUAACUCUUUAGAGAACAAGCAAGAGUUGACAUUGAGUGUCGUUAACCACUCAAAAACCCUCUCGAGUACCCAGAAAAGAGCCACUCAACCCCUCCCAUUACAUCUUACUUCUUAGGCCCCCAUUAGAAUGGCCAUUAAGCAUCUCUCUGUCAUGUAAAAUAGAGAGCAGAAAGUAAUUUGCCCAUUAGAAGGGAAUGCAUUUGUUAUUAAACUUUAAACAAUGUAAACCAUUUGUUAGCUCUUAAUGCUCCUGCAUGGGAUAUGGGUGUAGGUUUGUGGCAGGGCUUUCUAAACAUAUAGGGUUAUUCUCUAAAGUGAAUUGUCAGUAAUUCAAAGUGAUUUCCAUAAUUUAGAACAAAAAUUAGAAACCUUGAGUUUGUUUUUAUUUCUACUUUUUUAGCCCAACAUUGCAAUUUACUUUGCAUUCACUGGCAUUUAUAACAAUUCAUCCUUUACCUGUUUUGAUUUCUGUGGUUUGGCGUGUUCACCUUUAGAAUAAAUUUUAUUAUUAUAAUCCUAAUGUAUUCAAAUUUCCAAACUGGGUUGGGGCUAUAUAAAUAUCAACAAUAAUGUCCCCCAUUAAUCCUGACACUGCCAGUAGGUGCUUACGCUUUUACUUUGAUUUAAUCUUUUACCAUGUUAAACAAGCUAGUGUCACUAGUUCACGUCAAUCGAUUAUUGGAUUGAUCACUUAAACCAUUCCCUUGAAGUCCAAGCACCAAAACCACUGCAACUCACUGUAAUGGUUUUGGUACUAGGAGUGUCAAAUCGAUUUAAUAGAAUUUAGCGGUUACCUGGGUCUAUCCUGACAUAUGAAUUGCAUCCGGUCUUCUCAGAGCUGGAGAAGCAGGAUAUCAGUUUGUUUAAUAAAGGAACGUAAUCGACUACUCACCUGAGCUCUCAGGCAAUAAAUGACUGCCCCCGACAUUCGACUUCCUGCUCAAAAACUGGAUCCAAAGUGGGCACCUAAACAGACCCAGGUAAGAGCUGGUCUAUGCUAGCCGGGCUAGACAGAUUAUGCUGGGGCAGUACCAGUACACUCCUGGCACCAUAAACACUACAGUGGGCUUGGAGUGUUCCUUUAAAUGUUCUUACCCGACCUUUUAUAAACACGUUACAUUGUAGCCUAUCAAACAAGGUCAGUCCUUCCACCCACAUCACUGUCUGAGUUAUUUACUUACAGAGGACUGAACUGCCCCUAACUGUCAUUAGGGAAUCAUACCUGCAUAUCAAGUAAUGCUUCAUGAGUUUAAUCAAGGUUUCUGAUACUUUUCCUCAUCGUGCAUCAUUUUUGAUCUUUUUUGAGUCUUUUUUGAUCAAUCUAAUGUCAACAUUUCAUUUAAAUAAUCACGUUAUUACUUUCCAGUUACCAUCCAUUUCUGAAAUUAAUUCUUUUCACUUCUUCAGAGUUUUUUGGUGCGGGUAGCUUACACGCUCUAUCUUUGGGGGACACAAUCGAGCACACUUUUGGCGUACAACACACCCCGGGACAUGACCUCUAUGGGUCUGGCUGAGGAUACUUUUUAGAGGGACAAUUGUUUUAUUAACUGUGUUUGGGUGUGAUAUGACUGCACAUCUAUCAUUUGGCUAAUUAUUACUUCCCUGGCCUUUUGAAGUAUUUGGCUAGCAAAACUGUAUUUCCUUUGACUUUGAAAACAUUAAACAAAUAUGGUGCUGAAGUUUUCCUUGAUCAGAAGUGUGGAACGAAAAAAAAAAGUAUGCAUAGAGUAGCACCCCAACAAGAAAGGUUACUUGCUUUUUACCAACCUGCCAGCUCAAUGCAUUGCCAACACACUAACAUGAGCAUUUUCUAUUAUACAGGGUGGGCCAAAAUUCAGAGUAGGAUUUGACGAGUCUUGGGGGGGGUUUAUCAUGGGUAAUUUCACGAAGGAAAAACGAGUAAAAAUAGUGAAAGUUUAUUUUCUAAAUUGAGACAAUUCUAAUUUUUAAGAAAUUUCCAGAUUAAUUGGCCUUCACAUUCACCCGACCUUUCAGCUAUUGAUCACUUCCUGUGUGGAUAUCUGAAAGAGCUAGUGUACGUGAGCAAACAGCGUACACUUGAGCAGCGGAAGGAGAAUACCCGCGCAGAAAUUUGAGCGCCAGAGCAUCAAACAUUAACUAAUGUUGUGAACAAUUCAAUCAACAGAGUUCGACUUUGCGAGGCGGCAAAUGGAGCUCAUUUAAAAAAUAUCAUCUUCUGUACCUACUCAAAUAAAUCUUCAUAUGUUAAGCAUUUAUUGUAUGUAAUAUCAUUGAAAUUGGUUCAUUAAUAAUAAUUUAAAAAAAGUUAUUGACUCCUCAAACCCUAUCCUGAAUUUUAGCCCACCCUGUACAUUCGCCAGUUGACAUUAUAAAUGGGUCUCUUGGAUUAACAUGGUCUGCGGAACUUUAGACUAAAAGUAGGACAUUUGGUAAAAAAAUAAAUAUUCCACAAAGUUCGUAAUCUGUGGAUUAAAGAGCUAUUCCUUUCCUUGGUCACUUUACCCAAAUCAUUGAACUAACCCUGCAAUCCAAAACACGGUGAUGACAUAUGGAAUAAACUACAUUUCCUAUGAUCCUCUUAAGACUCGCUAAGCAUCAUGGGAAUAGUGGUCAAUCAUGUAAGGUGCCAAGACUGGCAAUCCCUCCAGUAAGGCAGGUCACUAUUUUUAGAACACUUUCCUCAUAUGUCAGAUGUUUCUUUUAAACAUUUGACUUUAGAGAAGGAGGGUGAUAUAUUACAGAACUGUUUGUACUUAUGAGGCUAACCAUACAGGUUUCUAGUAACUAGAACAAACUCACCUGAUAACACAUCAAACAUGUAACAGUCGUUAGAUAAUUACUCAUACAUAAGACAGACCCUUUAACCCAAGUAAAGAUGAAUCUUUCCCUGUGGUGCUGACCCUUUAAAUAUCUGAGUUACAGAGAGUUUUGCUGCUGUUGCCGGAUGCUGGAUCGCAAUAUAAUAACUAUUUGAGGCACGAUUUCUCUGCCAAAAAUAUGCAUCUAGUUAGAGGUGUCCUGCUGCUGCUGUGUAAAAAUCUCACCUCGUUCCCAGCUGCUGCAGGAUUGGGGUGAGGGGGGCGUGAGGAGAGGUGCGGACUGGAUGGAGUUUGGGUUUGGGGUGGGGGGAGAAGGGGGUUACGGAGCAGCGUCUGGAAUUUCUUUUCCAAAAUAAUGUGGAAAAACUAAAAUCCCAGCAAUAAACCCCCGAGGUGAGCGGAGCCGAAGGGGAUUUAACUCUUUUCUUGCCUGCAUUGCAACGUUGAAUGGCAAGUUCUGAACAACCUUCUACGCAGAACAUUUGGACUUACAGAAAAAAAAAAUACAUCCGCUAAUAUGUGGACAGAGACAGUGCUCUAUUACAUACCUUUAUUAUAGAUCUGUAUGUUUAACUCUUUGGAUACCAUUGUGUCUAUAUCACAAUCUGGUCCCCGAAGACCUUAUGCCACUGUAAAUUGUCCUACUAAUCUAGUAUACGUAGCUCUAUGUAGACUGUCAUUAUAUAUGUUGGGUAUUUCUACUUAUUAAUAGGAUCUUUAAAAGAGACUAGAUUAUGACAGAGGAGGCCAUCUUUGGUUGUAAAGAGGUUAAUAUUGCACUUUGUAAUAACAAGUCAAUAUAAGUAAACUCUGUGGUUGCUAGACAGAUCGUGGUUUCUGGGAUAGUGCGAGCAAAUUAAUGUGUCAUCCCAGGACAUACAGUAUUAUUUACAUGCCACAAUGUCACCCAGAGAUGACAUUCUAAAAGGAACUGUGAACAAACAGUGGUUGCUCUGGAACAGAUCCUCUCAUGUCUCUCACUAUGGAAACAUGCGUUGAUUUAAAAAAAAUAAAAUUCCCCCAGAUGUUCUUAUCCUCAUAUUCUGUAUGAUUUCCGAGGUAUCAGAGUUUUCCUCGCACCCCAACAGAAAAGGUGCUAUUUCAGUCUGGUUUUGGUGACAUCAUAGCAGCCUUCGUUAAGAGGAGGGUCUUUUAGUAGAUCAUAUGGUCAGAAUAAAUGGGACUUGUUGAUUAAGAGUGCUUGUGACAAGAUGAGAAUUAAAUACAACCAAAAAAUGGUAUACUGAGUAAUUGGUGUUAAAAGACAAUAGUGACCAAGCAGGAUGUGUGAUAGUGAUAGUGACAGGGCAGGGAGUCUGUGGCAAUAUUACACUGAUAGUGACAAUAUUACACUAAUAGUGACAAGGCAGGGGGGUGUGACAGUAUUACACUGAUAGUGACAUGGCAGGGAGUGUGUGGCAAUAUUACACUAAUAGAGACAAUAUUACACUGAUAGUGACAGGGUAGGAAAUGUGUGACUGUAUUACACUGAUAGAGACAAUAUUACACUGAUAGUGACAGGGUUUGUGUACUAAUUGUAUUAAACUGAUACUGACAGGUAUAUAGACACAAUAUUACAGUGACAGGGACAAAGGAAGGGUGAUACAGUAUUACUGUGACAGAGAGAUAAUGAUAUAGUGAAACAAGGAGGAUGGUAAGGUAUUACUUAAAGAGAAAAGGGGUGAUAUAGUAUUACACAGAGAGAGUAAGGGUGAUACAGUAUUACACUGACAGAAAGGAAGGGUGAUACAGUAUUACACAGAGAGAGGAAAGGGUGAUACAGUAGUGCACUGACAGAAAGGAAGGGUGAUACAGUAUUACACAGAGAGAGUAAGGGUGAUACAGUAUUACACUGACAGAAAGGAAGGGUGAUACACAUUAUUACACAGAGAGAGUAAGGGUGAUACAGUAUUACACUGACAGAAAGGAAGGGUGAUACACAUUAUUACACAGAGAGAGGAAAGGGUGAUACAGUAUUACACUGACAGAAAGGAAGGGUGAUACACAUUAUUACACAGAGAGAGGAAAGGGUGAUACAGUAUUACACUGACAGAAAGGAAGGGUGAUACAGUAUUACACAGAGAGAGGAAAGGGUGAUACAGUAUUACACUGACAGAAAGGAAGGGUGAUACACAUUAUUACACAGAGAGAGUAAGGGUGAUACAGUAUUACACAGAGAGAGUAAGGGUGAUACAGUAUUACACAGAGAGAGGAAAGGGUGAUACAGUAGUGCACUGACUGAGAGUGUUCUGUGAUGUGACAGAGUAUCAGUCAAACAGUGAUUGUCAGUGUGACAUGACGCCACAUGUAGGGGGUAACACAAAGUGUAAGCAAUAGUCAUAUUACAUGUUCUGCUGGUGACAGAGUAGCACGUGACACAAUGACACACGGUCGGGAGCAUCCGACAUGGAAGGGAAAGUGUCUGACUGAUCGCUAUCCUCUGUCUCUUGGUGGCAAACCUCAGCUUAUAAACAAAAGCUUCCAGGACAAAAAUAACAUCCGUGAGAGGGACAAGGAUGGGUGGAUAGAGCCUAAAUCAACAGACAAAAGGUCCCACAGGCGGGGGUCUGUCUGUGUGUUCAUUUUCAUUAGGCUAGCCUCAGUAUAUACAGCGACAUAGAUCUCUGUGGGCAUCAGUGCUGUGUCUGGAAAAAAAGGGGGAAUUGGGGGCACAUCCGGAACUAAGUUAGAGUGCUGCCAUAAAGACCAAAUAUGUACAAAAUACAGAUUAAGGAACAACACACAAAUACAGUUUAAAAUUUUACAAAACUACUUAAAAUCACCACUAUACCACUCAAAAUCAAACAAAUUUGGGGAUUUAGUUACAAUAUGUGGCCAUAUCAUGUUCAUCCCACCUCAAGGUCACAGUAUUCCAAUAUCAGUGGGUCCUAAACUAAUUUUAAGACUCUCCUCAAUUUAUGCUUUACACUGGUCACCUCGAAAGGAGCAUCUAUAGUGGACAGGUGGGGUGCUCAGCCCAGUAGGAAUUUGUUGGGUGCCCCUUUUGAGAUCUAAAUGUUUUGUUUCAUUUAUCUAUUUAUGGGAAGGGAGCUGAUUAUUGUGAUGGCAUUUCAUGGGAGCAGUUAGGUUUACACAUUUUCCUCGAAUCUGGAGAACACAUUGAUACGUUAAAUUUUUUUUAAUACAAAAGGCCUUUAUGGAGGCCACAUCAGCACAUUUACAAGUGGUUAAACUGACUGCACAAUAAUAGAAAAGUAGAUUGAUGUGUAAUUCCAUAAUUACGUUGUAGCGGAUUGCAUUGGGCUGUCUGCUAAAACUGUGUGAUAAAAAGGCUUUUGUUAAUUUCCUGUUAUGUGUAUUCAUAUUGUAUGAAGCAUUUGACUGAUUGUUCGGUAAAAUCACUCCGUUCAUCAUACGAAUGAAACUACCGAACAAUCAGACCACCCUAGGGAUAAGUGGGCCUCUUGUUUACCCCCUUGAUUCAUUGUAACUUGCUUGGGCUGCUGGGUGGACACCGUUCGGCAUACGAACACAUGGCGGCGGCCAUCUUACAUACGAACGCUCAGCGGUGUUUGGUCGUCGAGUGUCUGGAACCCAAAUCGGACACUCGAUUACCCGAACACCUCUAAGACCUCCAGUUCUCCAGAACUACCGGACGGAACCACGAAUCAGGCCAUCAUUUGUUUAAAUUGAUCUACCGAACAAGUGGAUUCAUCUGAACUCCAGCUCAGCCCUGGAUAGCAGGGAUUUUCAUGCUUUUUAUGUCCCGAACCGACCGCAAGGUCAAAACACAUGGAAGGGCUUUCGGCUACUUCCUCGUGUGCGGUCGGUCAAAUUUCUACUUCCACCUAACUCCCGAAACCCCUGGUCCGAUCUGGGUGAUUUUUGAAUAUGUUGCUCACCCAGAUCAGGGCUACCAGGGAAUAUAAAAUGUAACAUUGUAUCUAAUAUAUUUGGGGUACAUCUGAAAACUGGGUAAAACCAUAUACUGUAAAAAUGGAUUAUGUGUCAAACUGAGGGGAGGAGAUGUAUGGGAGGUAACAAGUAAAGGAUUGGUUACUGUACUAAUUAUUGUGGGUGGCUCCCUUGCAUGGGAGAAAUGCUUAAAAGCUGAGUGUGAAUAAACCAAUAGUUCUGCUCCUGAUGCUGUGUGUCGUCCAGUCAUUGGGAAACGUUAUGGGAUCUUCUUGGAUUUAUUUUAUUUGCUGUGGAUACCAGUCUCUUGAGUUUUAUUACUUGUUCCUGAGUGUCACUUGGAUUAUUAGCGCAUAUAGGCUGUGAGAGACCAGAUCUCCGCUACAUACGUGGUACUAAAUAAAUGUUAUAUUUUGAAGGGAGUCAGGGCUAGUUAAUUUGGCAAUGGAUAUAUCGGAUAUAUCAGAAGUUAUCAUCUUAUGAUUGUAACUCGCAUCCGAAUGACAGAGUCACUUUAGCUAUCAGUCAGUGUCAUCAAGAUAAGAACUUUCUAGAGUUGCACUAGGACCAGUUGGGAUAUAGUAGAGAGGAUGGUUUUGUUUUAAAAUGUCUUGGCAUGCUUUAAUACGACAACACUAGGUACAACCCCUCCAGUGUUUAUUACAUAAAAUAUGAUGGAGAUAAUGCAUCUUGGAUGUAAAAACCCAUAGAGUCCUAACCUCAACAUCCGAGGAAAGGGAUUUCGGGGUGAUUAUUUCAGAUGACUUAAAGGUAGGCAGACAAUGUAAUAGAGCAGCAGGAAAUGCUAGCAGAAUGCUUGGUUGUAUAGGGAGAGGUAUUAGCAGUAGAAAGAGGGAAGUGCUCAUGCCAUUGUACAGAACACUGGUGAGACCUCACUUGGAGUAUUGUACACAGUACUGGAGACCGUAUCUUCAGAAGGAUAUUGAUACUUAAGAGAGAGUUCAGAGGAGGGCUACUAAACUGGUUCAUGGAUUGCAGGAUAAAACUUACCAGGAAAGGUUAAAGGAUCUUAACAUGUAUAGCUUGGAGGAAAGGCAAGACAGGGAGGAUAUGAUAUAAACAUUUAAAUACAUAAAGGGAACACAGUAAAGGAGGAGACUAGAUUUAAAAGAAGACAACAAGAGGACAUAGAGUGAAAUUAGAGGGGCAAAGGUUUAAAAAUAAUUUCAGGAAGUAUUACUUUACAGAGAGGGUAGUGGAUGCAUGGAAUAGCCUUCCAGCUGAAGUGGUAGAGGUUAACACAGUGAAGGAGUUUAAGCAUGCGUGGGAUAGGCAUAAGGCUAUCCUAGCUAUAAGAUAAGGCCAGGGACUAAUGAAAGUAUUUAAUAAAUUGGACAGACUAGAUGGGCCGAAUGGUUCUUAUCUGCCAUCGACUCACAUUCUAUACGGAGGACCAUCGAAGUAGAAAUCAACCAAUGUUUUCUUGAGGUGGAGCAAUUACGGGACCUUUCCAUUGAAACUUUGACUCAGAAUAUUGCUUUUGUACAUUAACACCUUCAUGCCUAUCUGGGCUGUGAAGAUUAUUUUCUCUAGGGUACAGAGCUGGCCGCUUGAAAUUCAACUGAGGUUUUGUACUUAGAUAAUAUUUUCGCAGUGUGCUGCUCCUCGGGUCUCUAAUCAUGUCUGCAAACUCUAAAGGGCUAUUAAAUCUGGUGCAGGGUAAGAAAUAUCAGUUUGUUUUCUUGUAUUAAGCUGCAGGUGUUUCGUGCAUGGGCCAAUGUCAUUUUUUAUUCUAGGAGCAUAUUCCCCUUCUACCAGGGAACAUUCCUAUAGCCGAGGCUCUCACCACCAGACAAAGAGCCAUCCUGACAUUUCUCCAGCUAAUUAAUCAUACCAGUACUAACUCAAUUAGACCCGGUGCCUCUAAGAUCCUAAUAUCUGGGGAAUAAGUAGGGUUGAGUAAUUAAAUGCUUAUUAUAUAAAUCCUAAUGAGAGCUGGAGAAGGGUGGAAUGUGAAAUAUUAUAGGAACUCAGAUAGCCACAGGGAUACAGCACUCUUUCUGUACCAACUCGAGGAGACAAGUAUUGUAGAAGCCAAUUAACCAUAUCACAGCCUAUACAGCAAUGUAGGAGCUUGCAGGGCCAUCAAAGUAACAUUUCAAGCAAGAAAAUAACACACAGUUAUUAAUUAAUCAUGCGAUACGGUAAUGUUAACAGGCAUCCUGUCAUGCGGAGAGAAAUAACAUUGUACAAAUAUAAUAAAGAAUUAUUGUCAAAAUUUUAGAAUUUUUAUAAGAGAUCUAUAUUAAAAGCUGAUGUAUACUUUGUCUCUGUGCACCCACCUCACUGCAUGUCGUUUGGCAGCUGUUAUACUGUAUAGAUUGAGACCAGCUGAAGACAUUACAGAAUAAUAUGUUUUCAGGUGUGUAGCAAACUGACAUAUUUAAAAGAACAGAAACAGAAAGGAAUUCAGCAAGCGUUCAGAAAGCAGGCCAAUCACGAAAUCUCUUGUCUGGUAGAAAAUUGAAAACGCAGGAAGGUAAGUAUAGCGCCUAGGGUGUCCUUGAGGAUACAUAUUAAAAAGAGAAGGGAAAGAACAAAUAGUGUAUUACAUAAAAUAUGAUUGAGAAAAGAUAGAAAUAGUUCACUCACACUUUUCAGGAGCUUAGGUUUAGCUCCAACUUAAACGCUUGGAUAUAAUCCACGUCUAUGGAUAUAACGUGGUGAAAGAAUUUGCGUAUAGUCCUCUUGGCAGUAUAUAUGUGGAGGAAAAUCAAAAUAACACAGUGUAGUAUGCCCAAUCAAGUAGCAGCAAUACAGUAAUAAAAAAAAUAUGCACUCACAUAUAUUGGAGCCUGAACAGUGGCUCCACAGGUAUAGCUUGAAGUGGUAUGAUCCCCACUCUAGUAUAUAGGUGACAUAGGUGUCACCUAUAUAUCUCUGUAUGUAAAAGAGAAAUAAAACCACAAUAGUUCAGAUACAUUAAGGAAAAUUGUUUCAUACUUAAUUUCAUAAUUUUAAUUUCCUGAUCAUUAUUCAUGGCAGCAUUUACUCUUGGGUUAGUUCCUCCCCUCACAGCAGAAAAGACAGGAAAUAGAACUCUGAAACUGGUAUAAAUAGAUCCUCCCGCUUCCCAUCAGGCAGUCUUUGUAACUAGUUUCAUAACUCCUAUAGUAUAUGGGUGGGAACCAGGGGCGUACCUAGGGCAUGUGGCACCCGGGCGGGUCCUGGGUUUGGCACCCCCCCUACUAAACUUUUUAAAAUGUGUUAUAUUUUUAACAUUUUUUAAAAAAUUUAUUGAACAAAUUUGUAAACUUUUUAAAACCCCUGCCCCCCUCUACAAAAUCCCUGCACCCCCUCCCACACAGUUACAGGCAGACAGUCACACAUAGUUACAAGCAGUCACACGCACACAGUCACAUGCAGACAGUCACACAUAUAGUCACAGGCGGUCAUAUACACAGUUACAGGUAGAGAGUUACACACAAACACAGUCAGUUACAAGCAGUUACACACAGUCACGCACACUGUUACAGGCAGACAGUCACAUAUACAGUCACACACACGGUCACAGGUAGACAGUCAUACACAUAGUUACAGCCACAAACACACACAGUUACAGACAGUUACACACACAGUCAGUUACAGGCAGCCACGCACAAAGUUACAUGCAGACAGUCACAGGCAGACAGUAACACACAGUUACAGGCAGCAUCACACAGUCACAGGCAGACUGUCACACAUAGUCACAGACAGUCACACACACACACACACACACACAGUGACAGGCAUGCAGUCACACACACAUACACACACAGUUACAGGUAGACAGUUAUGCACACACAGUUACAGGUAGACAGUUACUCACAUACACACAGUUACAGGUAGACAGUUACGCACACACACAGUUACAGGCAGACAGUUACACACACACACACACACACACAUAUUUACAGGCAGACAGUUAUACACACACACAAGACAGACAGUCACACACACACACACACAGUUACAGACAGACAGUCACACACGCACACACAGUUACAGACAGUCACACACACACAGUUACAGACAGUCUCUCUCACACACACACAGUUACAGACAGACAGUCACACAUGCACACACACACACACAGUUACAGACAGGCAGUCUCACACACCCACACACACACAGUUUCAGGCAGUUACACACACACACACACACACAGUUUCAGGCAGACAGUUACACACAGACACACACACACACCUUCAGGCAGUUACACACACACACUCUUAUACUUACAGACAGUGUGUGCUGGAGGAGUGGAUUCACCAGCCUGAAGUCCUUCCCUGGAGCCUGGUAGGUGGAGGAGCAGGGAUUUCUGCUUGCUGCACCUCCAUGUGCAGCAGUUACUUACAGCAGCUUGUAAGGGCUGUGUUAAGCCCCGCCACCCACUCACGGUUAGGCUCCGUCCCUAAACGGCCGUAGUUCCCCUUCUUCUUCCUCCCGUGCGGCCAGUUCAUCUUGCUGGUUUCUCCAUGUGAGCUGUGUGACACCCCAGCUGCCAUGGGGCACAGCUCACACAGCCCCAAGACCAGGGUUAAGGCACCCCCCUACCAGGUGGCACCCGGGGUGGACCGCCCCCUCCUUAGUCCGCCACUGGUGGGAACGUAAUGCUGCCAUGAAUAAUGAUCAGGAAAAGAAAAUUACAGUAAGUAUGAAACAAUUUUCCUUAUUCCUGAUCAAUCAUGGCAGCAUUUACUCAUGGGUAAUACCCAAGCAGUAUAUAUAGAGGGAGGGACAAAGUUCAAAAACAGCUAAUAGCUAUAAAACCAUUAUUGAGCUGCAUAAACCUUAGAAGACUUUUAAAAAAGCCAAACAAGUAAUCUAUAGGAAAUUGUCAUAAAAUCUGUUCAGACAAGUUAAUUUACCCUAGAGGGUGCUAGACCAGCAACCCCCUGGCAUUCAAAUGUCUGAAAUAUCCUGGAGAAAUAUAGAGCCAGAUAGGAAUUAAGGCCACGAUAGCCAAACCUACAGAAUGAACAAGGUUAGACUAAUACAAGACAAACCAUCGUAAGAAAUAAGGAACCCAUCUUUAAAUUUAGAGCACCUCCACGAAACCCAGACAAGGUCUAGAAAUUAUAGAUUGCCUGAUGGGAAGGGGGAUGAUCUAUAUAUACCAAUUUAUACCAGUUUCAGAGUUCUAUUUCCUGUCCUUUCUGCUGUGAGGGGAGGAGCUAACCCAUGAGUAAAUGCUGCCAUGAAUGAUCAAGAAAUGAGUAAUGUCUGGAAGUCAGCAAUUUUUGAAUGCGUUUACUGUGUGUAACAGUGUCAAAUACUUUGCCGUAAUCAUAAUAAACUUCAUCAACUGCCUUACUGUGGCCUAUUAUGUUAGUUACAAUGCUGAAGAAUGUACUCUGCUUGUACACAAUAAUUACACAAUGCAUGCUUUGUUUUCAAGGGAGGGGUGAGCACUUGAGAUCCAAGGAAGUUAAACGCUAAUGUUUAAUGUGGAAAUAAUCAACAUGUACAUAAUUAGCAAAAUGAAUGAUUGUGAAUUAGCUUUAUUGAUACCAACUGGUUUAUUUUAAAAAAACCCCAUUAAAUAUAGUAAAUGGAAUGCAUUUAUUUUAUUUUUCAGAUUUAAUGGCACAGACCGAGAUUCGUUAACUCUUCAAGUACGACUGAGCAUCUAGAAAUGCAAUGGGCAAUUGGAUAUUGCUGACCAGCCUUAUGGCUGAUGAUGAUCGGGAUCUUAUUUCCAGAAAACAAGUCUGUGCUAUUGCGGGAGCUCUGAAUAUUAUCUGAUUAUUUUUUCCCCAGUGAGCCAGGAAAACAGUACACACGUGUUCUUGAAAGUAUUAUACCGAGAACAUUGUGGCUCUCUGGGUUGGUCAGAAUUUUACCUAUAUCGAUUGUAGAGUCCAUACUUAUUCCAUUUCAACAAGUAUGUGAAUGGCACUCAAUGGGAAAAUAGACCAACCAUGAUAUUCCCUUUCUUCUACUGCUUGACUGGCACUCAAUGGGCAAAUAUCAAAUGGGUUAGGGUCUACUCAGCUGCUAGGACAGAAAAUAUGCUUUGAAUGGUAUAUAUUAUUACUUCGAAAGCUGCAAUAUAUUCUGCAACACAGUACAAUAAUUUGCUCUCUGAAGUAAUUUUUUUAUUUUGUACUCUACUUGGCCUCACAGGCUGUUUUCACAUUUUAACAAAAUGGUAUAUACAAAACAUUAUUGCUGAUUUAAUUUUUCUUUUCUCCAUUUUUUUCUCCUCUUCCAUUUUUGUCUGUACUAAUAGGUAAAUGCGGGGUCACCAAGCUGAUGGGGUAAACGAAGAGCAAAUAGACUGACACAUUUCACCUCUGGAGCUGAGUCAUCAGCAUAAUGCCCUCCUGGAAGGGUUCAGCAUUUCUCCUUUGAGUGACCCAGAACAUGAUGAAAUGUUACACCCUUGGGUCUCUUUACCCCCUAUUAAAAUUACAGGGGCAAGGAGAGUUACACUACAAUUGAUAUUUGCUGUUAAAUAAUGACAUCCCAUGUGUAAUAUCUUCCAUUUACAAUAAUAUCUUGCUGUUUUGGUUUUGCAAAAUUAGAUAUUUCCUUUAAAGACUACACAUGCAAGUCUAAAUAUUGUGUAUGCAAGCCUUAGAUGGUGUGUCCAUUCAAGUACAAAGGAAAUUAGGAUUGCUGUGAUGGUUCCAGUCUUGGGCAAUCAAUAUCUCAUUCAAACACAACAUUUUUGGGUCACUGAAACCUUUGGGUUAGAUUUUUCUUUUUAAAAGCCUGCCUGUGGCAUACAGGAAUUUUUGUCUCAGGAUAAAAAAAUAUAAAAUGAAGUAUGAAUCACUUUCAAAGAUAGCAGAACCUGCAGACCAAGUAACUAAUAUUCAAUUGGAACAACAGGUGCACGAGGAUUGUGUCAUUUCAAAAAUGUGUCUUCAUUUCACGGCAGUCAGAAACAUUUCUGAAUGAGGCUUAUCUUGGGUCCAUGUGGUAUGGACAAGAUGUGUUAUGUUUGGAACAUCUGGACAUACAUCUUAUCCAGAUGUUCCUCAUGGGUGUUAUUGGUGAUUCAGAAAGGGUAUUGUCUGGGGUAUUCAAAUUCUUUAGGGAUUCAUUAUUUGCCUUCUCCUAGGGAAAGAGAUCCAAGGACUUGUCAUGCACCAGUACUUUGCAAGUCUGCUCAAAGAAAGGAUAAUUAUGAAGGAACCCACUUGAGAAGAAAAUCCAUGUCUGUUGUCUAUUUUCCACUUUUUAAAAUUAAAGGAAACCCCUUAGACAACUGAAACGUAGUCCCUAAUUUACAUUGGGUCAGUGCAUGUCUAGACUAGAUAUUUCACAGUGGAAUUAUGGCUACUAUUACUCUAGAUGUCCAACCUUAUGACUUGAUGGUCUCUGUAGACCCUUGAUGUAAUGUAUUGCCACAUUGUAAUAGCUCCAGCACGACUCAUAUUAUUUCAUUUGUAUUCAUUUUUCCAUUCAGUUUUCAAUUCCAUUCAGUUGUGCUUUAAACUCGGCAUCGUAUGGACUUGUAGCCAAUCCCUAUCUGAGAUGUAUAUAAUUCACUAAUUGAUGAACACAAAAGGGAAACAUUUAAGUACUUAAUAAUGUUAACAAAAUAUUUUCUGCAGUUAGACAAUUGUGUAAUAUUUGUUUUAUGUAUGAUCCCUAAUGGACUGUUGUUUGCUUUUACUUAUUGGUUAGUUCAGAUUACUUCAACAAGUGACAUAUACAGCAUGGUUCUAUGUUCAAGCAUAGUAGAAAGGCAAAUAAUAUUGUAUAUUUUUAUAGUUAUUUCAUGUCACUCAGAAUAUCAAUGAGCAUUGUAGGCGCCACCCUCACUAAGUAAAUCCAGUUAAAGGUGUUUUGCAUUUAUAAAUCAUUUUUUAGGAAAACCUGUUAUUUUUUUCAUUAAUAUCUCAAAUUAAAGUUUACAUGUUAUAUAGACUUGUGCAUUAUUUUCCAAAGAAUAAAUAAAUGUUAAUAAACUUUUCUCAUGGAAGCCAUAUUUAUUAGCCCUCUUUGGUCAGAUGCAUUUGUCAACCAAGGAGAACUUCGAGAUGUAAGGGUACAUAGAGCAAGGGUGGGCCAAGAGUGGUACUGAAAAGAGGCAUUCACUUAUAUGAUAGCAUUACAAAAUAAUGCACGCCGAGGCUACAAUACAUGUAAUCUUUUAUUUGAAGUCAUUUUUAAAUUCAAUGCACAAAUGUAUAAAUAUUAUGGUUACAUAAGCCAUCUGGAUUCUUGCAUGAGAAUACAGCUCAAUGGCAAAUCUACUGAAAGCUAUCAGACGUUCUUGGGAGAACAUUCUCACCUGGCAACAGCUGUUCCACUAGGGUGAAGAUGAAUAGUUG